CCUACUGGAGGCAGCAGUGGGGGAUAUUGCACACUGGGGGAAACCCUGAUGAAGCGACGCCGCGUGUGUGAAGACGGUCUUCUGAAUUGAAAACCAUUUUCUUCAGGGACGACAAUGAUGGUACUAGGUGAGGAAGUUUCGGCUAACUACGGGCCAGAAGCCGCGGUAAUAGGUAGGGAGAAAGCGUCGACAGGAAUUACGGGGUGUAAAGGGAGCGGAGGGGGGGAUGCAAGUUGGGUGUCAAGACGACCGGUUCAACCGAUCGUCGCACUCAAAACUGCAACUCUUGAGUGAAGUAGAGGCAGGCGGAACUCCUAGUGUAGCGGUGAAAGGCGUAGAUAUUAGGAGGAACACCAGUGGCGAAAGCGGCCUGCUGGGCUGUUACUGACGCUGAGGCUCGAAAGUGUGGGGAGCAAACAGGAUUAGAUACCCCAGUAGUC
rnacentral:rRNA from 1 species